AAGAAGUAUGCUGGGCGGCUCGCCUUCACAUGCAAGUCGAGCGGUAACAGAGAAGUAGCUUGCUACUUUGCUGACGAGCGGCGGACGGGUGAGUAAUGCCUGGGAAUUUGCCCAUUCGAGGGGGAUAACAGUUGGAAACGACUGCUAAUACCGCAUACGCCCUACGGGGGAAAGGAGGGGACCUUCGGGCCUUCCGCGAAUGGAUAAGCCCAGGUGGGAUUAGCUAGUAGGUGAGGUAAUGGCUCACCUAGGCGACGAUCCCUAGCUGUUCUGAGAGGAUGAUCAGCCACACUGGGACUGAGACACGGCCCAGACUCCUACGGGAGGCAGCAGUGGGGAAUAUUGCACAAUGGGCGAAAGCCUGAUGCAGCCAUGCCGCGUGUGUGAAGAAGGCCUUCGGGUUGUAAAGCACUUUCAGCGAGGAGGAAAGGUUACUGGCUAAUAUCCAGUAGCUGUGACGUUACUCGCAGAAAAGACCGGCUAACUCCGUGCCAGCAGCCGCGGUAAUACGGAGGGUGCGAGCGUUAAUCGGAAUUACGGGCGUAAAGCGUGCGCGCCGGUUUGUUAAACCAAAUGUAAACCCCCGGC
rnacentral:rRNA from 1 species